CUCGACAAGGACCGGCAGUUUGCGGAGACGCGGACACUUGUGGUUGACAGGGAGCGUCAGCUUUCCAAAACCCAGACACUUCUAGCUGACAGGGAGCAGCAGCCAAAGGAGUUUGAAACAGAAAUUUUGAGGCUUAAGCGCCUGUUGGCUGAGACCAAUGAUACAAAUAACUAUGCAGCUUUAGUGUCUCCUGAGACAAUAACUGAAGUCAUACAGAAGCAAACUCCAGUUUCACCUGCAAGAACACCGGUGUGGAACAGAACGAAUACAGUACAGUCCAGUGUGAAUGCCAUUGUCCUCCAUGGUAGCUUUCUGGAUGAAGCUAGAGAGCAGGACUUCUGUAGAAGAGGUGUUCGCACCUCAGGGAAUGGGACAGAUGAAAGUUCUUGUUCUUGUGUGUAUCAUAUGCUGGUUGAAUCUUUAGUUGGCAUGAAAUUUUCACUGAAGAAUGAAAUAGAAGGAUUCUCACUUUCAAUCCAUCAUGAAGCUACUGGUUAUAAUUUCACCCUUACGUGGUUAGAGCAACCUGAUGGCGGUGAAUGGGCCUACAAAUACUCUUCGCUAGGCACCCUGGAGAAAAUCGCUUUAAAGUGGAUGAGAGUGCUGAACAUAAGGUUUAGCAAGGCAAUGUGCCCUGUAUUCUUUGAGCGGGUAUAUAGUCUCAUCAGGCGAGGUCGAUGA
rnacentral:rRNA from 1 species